rnacentral:rRNA from 1 species
GAUGAACGCUGGCGGCGUGCCUAAUACAUGCAAGUCGAGCGAACAGACGAGGAGCUUGCUCCUUUGACGUUAGCGGCGGACGGGUGAGUAACACGUGGGUAACCUACCUAGAAGACUGGGAUAACUUCGGGAAACCGGAGCUAAUACCGGAUAAUAUUUCGAACCGCAUGGUUCGAUAGUGAAAGAUGGCUUUGCUAUCACUUAUAGAUGGACCUGCGCCGUAUUACCUAGUUGGUAAGGUAACGGCUUACCAAGGCAACGAUACGUAGCCGACCUGAGAGGGUGAUCGGCCAAACUGGAACCGCGACCCGGUCCAGACUCCAGCGGGAGGCAGCAGUAGGGAACCUUCCGCAAUGGGCGAAAGCCUGCCGGCGCAACGACGCGCGAGUGAUGAAGGUCUUCGGCCCGGAAUACUCUCUUAUUCGGGAAGAACAAGCGUGUCAGUAACUGUGCACGUCGUGACGGUACCUAAUCAGAAAGCCACGGCUAACUCCGUG